CAAAAACACACACACACACUGAAGAAACGGGCAGAGAGCUGGAGACCAAAAAUAGGGAGAAAAACUAAGGAAAAUAAGAGAAGAAAAAGAGAAAGAAGGAAGAAAUGAAGAGAAGGGAAGAAGAGGAAGUGAGGUAAGGUUAUUUUCUCCAAGUUUUGGGUUUAAUUUAUCCAUUGUUCCAAGUGAUUAAGGUGUGAUUUAGGUUAAAUUUUUAGGGUUUUAACUUGUAGUAAUAAAAUGUCAAAUUUAGAUGAUAUAUGUAUGAUUUGAAGCUCAAGUUUGGGGAUUAAUUUUGUUUCGGUUUCAGCAAGGUAGGCAAUAAUUUUUUUGGGACAACCCUAGAAUUCGAUUUCGGAUUUUUGUUUAAUUAAUUGUGGAAAUGAUUAUAUUUAUGGAAUAUUUCACUUGGGAGUUGAUUUUAUGGAACAAAAUGUUUAUUAAAUGGGUGGAAUUAUGGUUACUAGUUUCACUAGAUUGGAGAGUAAAAUUAGUUUUAAAAUUGGGAAGAAGGUUAUGUUGAUGAAUUAGUUAUUAGACAAGGGAUUAGAAAGUAGGAUUAGCUCCAAUUGAUCAAAGGAUUAUUUGGAAAAUUCAUUCGAGCAUCGACCAAUUUUAGUUAAGUAUUAUAGAAGUAGAUCUUAAAGUUUCUUAAUUUAAUAGUGCUUGAUUAGUCAUCUUGUUAUGUAUUCUAGGUGGUGACGAGGAGAUUGGAAGAGCAUAUCGACCAUCUUAGGUUCAGCUUGUAUUAUGUGAGUGGAUAAGCUUAUUUUUCAAGAAAUUAGUAUUUAUUUAAUUUUUAUUAACUCAGAAAAUUUAUUAAUUCAUACAGUCGAUUUGAAAACAGAUUUUCAAAAUAAAGUUUAUUUAUAACCGUUUGUUUUUAAAAGUUAAAUUCAAUUUAGUAAAUCAUUUUAUUGGCAUGUUAUAUGAGUAUUAAAUGUUUCAGCAUAUUUAAAGUUAUUUUCUAAAAACCACCAGAAAGUACCUAGGUAAUUUUACCCUCAUCUGCACUGGUGUGAAUGUGUUUCCAUAGUGUAUGACUUCAUAUGGUUAUUUUACUCACUCUGCGCUGGUGUGAAUAUGUUUCCAUAGCGUAUGAUAAGUAUAGUGAUUUUACCCGCUCAGCACUAUUGUGAAUGUGUUUCCAUAGUGUAUGACCAUUUUAUAGCUCUGCGAGCGUACGACCAGAAUUACAUAAUUUUAGAAUUGAAUAACCUUGCUAUGUAUAUCAAGAUUAAUCGAUACACGAGUUUGGUUAUUUCGGGUAUAUUUUUGGUGUGAUGUUUCAGUACUACAUAGAUUAUCAGAUUUUAGAAAUGCAAUAUACAGAAUAAGGAUGUUUAUGAUUACAGUAUAUUUUAGUUUUAAUAGUAUUAUCAGAUUUUAAAUUACAGAAUUCAGCUUAUUCAGUUUAAAGAAUAAAUAUUUUAGUUUAUAUGUCUGCGAAAAGAAAUUUAAUGCUAUAUGUCGGUUUUCAGAAAGAUUUUAUGAAUGGAAAAGUAUAUUUUUACAAAUAUCCACUCACUGAGUUAUAGGGCUAUAAGCAAAAACUGCCAAACCGAAAAAUCGAACUGAAAUCGCAUUUUAGAAACUGUCGAUUUGGUGCCACGUGGACGCUGUCAACGAAAUAGUUUUGACCCAAACCAAACCGGUCAAAAUGGUUUGGUUUAGGCUUGAGAAUUUUAAUUGCGAUUUAAAACCAAACCGGACCGGCGAAAAAAUAAAAAAAUGAAAAAAUGAAUUUUUUUUGAAAAUUCAUCCAAAUAUGUAAAAUUCAAUAGUUUCAUUUGUAGGUAUUUUUGUCAAUUUCUAAUUUUCUAAUAUAGA
rnacentral:lncRNA from 1 species